GAUGAACGCUGGCGGCGUGCUUAACACAUGCAAGUCGAACGGGAAACCUUUUAUUGAAGCUUCGGCAGAUUUAGCUGGUUUCUAGUGGCGGACGGGUGAGUAACGCGUGGGUAACCUGCCUUAUACAGGGGGAUAACAACCAGAAAUGGUGGCUAAUACCGCAUAAGCGCACAGGACCGCAUGGUCCGGUGUGAAAAACUCCGGUGGUAUAAGAUGGACCCGCGUUGGAUUAGCUAGUUGGCAGGGUAACGGCCUACCAAGGCGACGAUCCAUAGCCGGCCUGAGAGGGUGAACGGCCACAUUGGGACUGAGACACGGCCCAGACUCCUACGGGAAGCAGCAGUGGGGAAUAUUGCACAAUGGGGGAAACCCUGAUGCAGCGACGCCGCGUGAAGGAAGAAGUAUCUCGGUAUGUAAACUUCUAUCAGCAGGGAAGAUAGUGACGGUACCUGACUAAGAAGCCCCGGCUAACUACGUG
rnacentral:rRNA from 1 species